AUUGAACGCUGGCGGCAGGCCUAACACAUGCAAGUCGAACGCCCCGCAAGGGGAGUGGCAGACGGGUGAGUAACGCGUGGGAAUCUACCGUACCCUACGGAACAACAGUUGGAAACGACUGCUAAUACCGUAUACGCCCUUAGGGGGAAAGAUUUAUCGGGGUAUGAUGAGCCCGCGUUGGAUUAGCUAGUUGGUGGGGUAAAGGCCUACCAAGGCGAUGACCCAUAGCUGGUCUGAGAGGAUGAUCAGCCACAUUGGGACUGAGACACGGCCCAAACUCCUACGGGAGGCAGCAGUGGGGAAUAUUGGACAAUGGGCGCAAGCCUGAUCCAGCCAUGCCGCGUGAGUGAUGAAGGUCUUAGGAUUGUAAAGCUCUUUCACCGGUGAAGAUAAUGACGGUAACCGGAGAAGAAGCCCCGGCUAACUUCGUGCCAGCAGCCGCCGCGGUAA
rnacentral:rRNA from 1 species